AGAGUUUGAUCCUGGCUCAGAACGAACGCUGGCGGCAGGCUUAAUACAUGCAAGUCGAACGGGCGUAGCAAUACGUCAGUGGCAGACGGGUGAGUAACGCGUGGGAACGUACCCCUCGGUUCGGAAUAACUCAGGGAAACUUGAGCUAAUACCGGAUACGGCUUAGCGGCGAAAGAUUUAUCGCCGAGGGAUCGGCCCGCGUCCGAUUAGCUAGUUGGUGAGGUAACGGCUCACCAAGGCGACGAUCGGUAGCUGGUCUGAGAGGAUGAUCAGCCACAUUGGGACUGAGACACGGCCCAAACUCCUACGGGAGGCAGCAGUAGGGAAUAUUGGACAAUGGGCGAAAGCCUGAUCCAGCCAUGCCGCGUGAGUGAUGAAGGCCUUAGGGUUGUAAAGCUCUUUCGUCAGGGACGAUAAUGACGGUACCUGAAGAAGAAGCCCCGGCUAACUUCGUGCCAGCAGCCGCGGUAAUACGAAGGGGGCUAGCGUUGUUCGGAAUCACUGGGCGUAAAGCGCAUGUAGGCGGGUCUUUAAGUCAGGGGUGAAAUGCCAAGGUUCAACCUUGGAACUGCCUUUGAUACUGGAGACCUUGAGUCCGGGAGAGGUGAGUGGAACUGCGAGUGUAGAGGUGAAAUUCGUAGAUAUUCGCAAGAACACCAGCGGCGAAGGCGGCUCACUGGCCCGGUACUGACGCUGAGAUGCGAAAGCGUGGGGAGCAAACAGGAUUAGAUACCCUAGUAGUCC
rnacentral:rRNA from 1 species